UUUUUUUUUUAAUGCAAAAAAAAGGGGACAGCAAAUGAAGCAAUUCGUCUGAACAUUUUAAAGUUUCUCACGUACUCUUUACAUUGCAAUGGAUGAGUUCCAUCCUUUCAUCGAAGCUCUUCUGCCCCACGUCCGAGCCUUCGCCUACACGUGGUUCAACCUGCAGGCCCGAAAACGAAAAUACUUCAAAAAACAUGAAAAGCGUAUGUCAAAAGAAGAAGAGAGAGCCGUGAAGGACGAGCUGCUGAGCGAAAAGCCUGAGGUCAAGCAGAAGUGGGCGUCUCGACUCCUGGCCAAGUUACGGAAGGACAUCCGACCGGAGUACCGGGAGGACUUUGUUCUCACGGUCACGGGGAAGAAGCCCGCGUGCUGCGUGCUCUCCAACCCCGACCAGAAGGGCAAGAUGCGGCGCAUCGACUGUCUGCGCCAGGCAGACAAAGUCUGGAGGUUGGACCUUGUCAUGGUGAUUUUAUUUAAAGGUAUCCCGCUCGAAAGUACUGAUGGGGAGCGCCUGGUCAAGUCGGCCCAGUGCUCCAACCCGGGGCUCUGCGUCCAGCCGCACCACAUAGGGGUGUCUGUGAAGGAGCUCGACUUGUACUUGGCGUACUUUGUGCACGCGGCAGAUUCAAGUCAAUCUGAAAGUCCCAGCCAGCCAAGUGACGCUGACAUUAAGGACCAGCCAGAAAAUGGACAUCUGGGCUUCCAGGACAGUUUUGUCACAUCAGGUGUUUUCAGUGUGACGGAGCUGGUGAGAGUGUCGCAGACACCAAUAGCUGCAGGAACUGGCCCAAAUUUCUCUCUGUCAGAUUUGGAAAGUUCUUCAUACUAUAGCAUGAGUCCAGGAGCCAUGAGGAGGUCUUUACCCAGCACGUCCUCUACCAGCUCCACGAAGCGCCUCAAGUCUGUGGAGGACGAAAUGGACAGUCCUGGGGAGGAGCCGUUCUACACCGGCCAGGGCCGCUCCCCGGGCAGCGGCAGCCAGUCCAGUGGCUGGCACGAAGUGGAGCCAGGAAUGCCGUCUCCGACCACACUGAAGAAGUCGGAGAAGUCUGGGUUCACCAGCCCCUCCCCUUCGCAGACCUCAUCCCUGGCCACGGCAUUCACACAGCAUCACCGACCUGUCAUUACGGGACCCAGAGCAAGUCCACACGCAACACCAUCGACUCUUCACUUCCCGACGUCACCCAUCAUCCAGCAGCCUGGGCCCUACUUCUCACACCCAGCCAUCCGCUACCACCCUCAGGAGACGCUGAAAGAGUUUGUCCAGCUUGUCUGCCCUGAUGCUGGUCAGCAGGCUGGACAGGUGGGGUUCCUCAAUCCCAAUGGGAGCAGCCAAGGCAAAGUGCACAACCCAUUCCUUCCCACCCCAAUGUUGCCACCGCCGCCACCACCACCAAUGGCCAGGCCUGUGCCUCUGCCAGUGCCAGACACGAAGCCUCCGACCACAUCAACAGAAGGAGGUGCAGCCUCCCCAACCUCACCGACCUACUCGACACCCAGCACCUCCCCCGCAAACCGAUUCGUCAGUGUUGGACCACGGGAUCCAAGCUUUGUAAAUAUCCCUCAACAGACACAGUGUUUCGUAGGGCCUGCUCUGUGCCCACCACAGGGCGAGACACUGGGGAUGCCACCUGCAAGAAGAGCGUCAGUGUUCUCAGGGAGCACACGGGUAGCUGCAGUUCAGUGACCGUGACAGAGCUCAACCCCGGACUGAAGGCCUGGAGAAAGACCCUGAGCAAGACGGGACUGCCAUCUGAGAAGGCAAGGACUAGCGGGUGUUAGCCAGACCAAGCAGGAGCUGCAGCCCGUGCCAAGGCCCAGCGGGGGAGAGCGCUUGGCUUUGGGGGAUCUGGAAGAAGUUUAACACAGCACAAGUGUUGAGCACAAGCGGUGAAAAGAUAAGGCCACAAAGUCCUGGUACCUGGGAUAAAAGUCGCAGCGUCCCACCAUCCACCAGACAGACCACCUGACCCCUUCUCAACUCUGUAACACGGACGCAUCCUCAACCCAGCGUGGUUACAACCUCACUGUCAGUGGGAGGGAGAGUCAAAUCAACUCGUACAUGCAAACAGCGAGCAUAUGGUCAAACAGCAAAGGCCAUUACCUUUUGGGAUUUUUUUUUAAAUACUUUAGGGACUGUUGUAAUUUUCUCAUAUGGUGCUGGAAAUGGUUGGGCUUUGUAACACUGAGGUGUGUCCGUGGUCGCGUGAGCAUUAGGCGAUGUGGCGAGGGGAGGUGUGCGCUUGCUCACUGACUCCCCGUGGUCACACACCCUCCUUACGGAGCCUGGCCGUUUCACAGUAUUUCAUGGAUUUACCCACAGUUGUGCACCUCCUCGAGCAGUCAGGAGGCACACAGAGAACUAAAUCUUUUGUAGUAGCUGAGAUCUGCAAUAUAUAACUUACGGGACAGUCAAAGGGCAAUGUUUUUCUGUAACAUAUUGGAAAAAGAAAAUGCAGUUAUGUUCCUUUCUUGUUUUCCUUUAGUUGGGUUUGGUUCAGCACUUAAACAUGUAACACGGCCCGCAAGGACAGUGAACCACUCACGUCGCAGAACAAAUCCGAAAUGGCAAACUACUACUACUACUAUUCAGUUUUUUAAAAGUUUUGAAAUGCUGCACUUACAUCUAAAAAACCAUUUUUUUCAACAAUUUUCAACAAUGACACACAAAUUCACAUGGAAAUGGGGAAGAUGGUCUGUUUUGACAGAAACUGACAGGAAUCAAUCAAAACAAUCGAAUUUUGAAUUGAGUAAAGUGCAAUUUCAUUGGAUAGCUAAAUAUCUUUGUAAGAUAGAGAUUGUUGAAAAUUCUAUUUUUGUUUUUCAAGUCCUUCCACCCCAGGACUCUAAAUUAUUGGGGUAAAAAACAGCCUUGCAAGAAAAAGGGGAGCUAUUUUUGCUUUUUAUGUUUUUUAUUGUUAAACUUGUAUCCCUUUAAAAACUGAAGGAAAAUUUAAAAAAAAAACAAAAAAACAAAUCUAAUGGUGCUUUUACCACAAUAUGUUAACUACAUUAAAUGCUAAUUAAUUAUUUUCUGUUAUCAAAGCACAUAACUAAAAUGAAAUCAUGGUAUCUGUUAAUUUUAUAAGCUAGAAGUCACUAUAAUGGAUAAUGCCAAUUCUGAGAAUAUUUACAUGUAUUCGGCAACAUAGGAUUUAUCAGUUAUCAGACACUUCAUUGUACCAGAGAUUGUCCAGAAAUUUUAAAGACCUUUGCGCCCCUGAACUGGGCUAUGGGAAAAAAAUAAUAAUAAAAAUGAAACCAAUACUGACACAAAUGCUGGUACCCAUUCAGAUCAGGGUACUUGUUAGGGAAAAAAAGUUUGCACCCCCAAAUGUCCUGUAUCUUAUGUAAAAAAACACAAAAAACAAACAAAAAAAAAAAACAAAAAAAGUGCAAGUGAUUUUUCUACCAGACAGCGAAGCGCGCCUUGCUUCCCGGGCACCGUCAAGAAGGUUCCUGUGCUGUACGUAGAUACGCAUCCUGGCGGCAGCCCGCCAGGGAGAGGCUCUGCAUGUUCUAGUGUUAGUCGCUAAUUUUUAUAUAGUUAAUGUAGGAUAAAGUAGAAUGCAUUAAGACACAAUAUUGUAAUCCCUCCUUAGGCACUUGCCUUUAAACUAUGUUUCCAGCCCUUCAGAAGGGUUCUACUGCUGUCCUAUACAAUCAAGUAACUGAAAUUCUUGGGAAGACACUUUGCUCCUCAUCUUUCCCCCAAAACGAUGUUGUUUUGUUUUGUUUUUUUUCCUUAAUUUGCACGAAAACAAAAAUUCCAUAUCAAUGUGCCUUGCCCUGGAUAGCGAUUAUUUGUGGAAUUGUUGCACACGCUCCUCUAUUGAAAGGGGUUUUCCCUCGUCAAGCAUUUGGAGACACUUUUUGUAAAUGUGACUUUACGUCGGCCAUCGUCAGUUUCCACACCUAGCACUGAGUAGGGUUAGUCGUUCCGCAGAUAGGCGUAGUCUUUAUUGUCCUCGUGGUCAGUGGCAGUGCUAUUCUGAGAUCUGUAGAUGCUUAGAAUAUCAGUAUUUUGGAUGUUGCUGCAUUUUACAAUUUAUUUGGAGUCUUCCUUUAUUUUCCCCCCAGAUAUAUGAAAAUAUGCAAUACCUGCUUAUAUCGUGUAGAAAAGCUUAGCGAUUAUUAAUUUUUCUUUUAUUUUUUUUAUUUGACCAAAGUCAGUGCUGCACUUGACGCAGUGUGUUUUAGAUGUUUGUCUUUGUACUUUUUUUUGUGAUUUUUGAAUGCACGUGUGCAGGAAGGGCUCCUCUUAGAGAAGCAGUCAAACUGUGAAGCACUGAGCUGACCCUGCUUCAAGCAAUUUUGUUUUUACAACUGUUCCUUUCACAAGCAAGCCUUAAAAAAAAAGACAACUUCCUUUUUCUUCAGCUCCCACACCCCAUUUUUCUUAGCAGACUGCAGUCAAUCCACAUUCAAUGAAAGUAUAUAAUGCCCAUUUUUAUAUGCACGUUUUUAAACUUCCAAGUUCUGAAAAUUGUUUACUGGUUAUCUCUAUUUAAGGAAAAAAAAAUAAAAUAAAACAUUUUGGAUUUUCA